GAACGCACAUUGCGCCCGCUAGUAUUCUGGCGGGCAUGCCUGUUCGAGCGUCAUUUCAACCCUCAAGCCCUGCUUGGUGUUGGGGCCCUACGCCUGUAGGCCCUGAAAAUCAGUGGCGGACCCUCCGGAGCCUCCUUUGCGUAGUAAUACACCUCGCACUGGGGCCCGGCGGGCUUCCUGCCGUAAAACCACUAUUUUACACAAGGUUGACCUCGGAUCAGGUAGGAAUACCCGCUGAACUUAAG
rnacentral:misc_RNA from 1 species